AUCGCCGGCCCCCGCCCGCCCUUCUCGCCCGCAGACCUCAGAGCUGCAUUCCCGCCUGCUUCCCACACGGUCGCAGUGGAGAGGGGUGUCUCCAGCAGAGCCUCUCUCUGUGGAAAAUGACAGCAGCAGCAGCGGCGGCCUGGAGGACGCCAGCCUUAAUUGAGGAUGCGC